AGAACGAACGCUGGCGGCAGGCUUAACACAUGCAAGUCGAACGCGUGUAGCAAUACACGAGUGGCGCACGGGUGAGUAACGCGUGGAUAUCUGCCUUUUGGUUCGGAAUAACCCCGGGAAACUGGGGCUAAUACCGGAUGGUUCCUACGGGAUAAAGAUUUAUCGCCAAAAGAUGAGUCCGCGUACGAUUAGCUAGUUGGUGAGGUAAUGGCUCACCAAGGCGACGAUCGUUAGCUGGUCUGAGAGGACGAUCAGCCACACUGGGACUGAGACACGGCCCAGACUCCUACGGGAGGCAGCAGUGGGGAAUAUUGGACAAUGGGGGCAACCCUGAUCCAGCCAUGCCGCGUGAGUGAUGAAGGCCUUCGGGUUGUAAAGCUCUUUUGGCGGGGACGAUGAUGACGGUACCGCAGAUAAGCCCCGGCUAACUUCGUGCCAGCAGCCGC
rnacentral:rRNA from 1 species